rnacentral:rRNA from 1 species
CCUACGGGUGGCAGCAGUGAGGAAUAUUGGUCAAUGGACGAGAGUCUGAACCAGCCAAGUAGCGUGAAGGAUGACUGCCCUAUGGGUUGUAAACUUCUUUUAUAUGGGAAUAAAAUGUUCCACGUGUGGGAUUUUGUAUGUACCAUAUGAAUAAGGAUCGGCUAACUCCGUGCCAGCAGCCGCGGUAAUACGGAGGAUCCGAGCGUUAUCCGGAUUUAUUGGGUUUAAAGGGAGCGUAGGUGGAUUGUUAAGUCAGUUGUGAAAGUUUGCGGCUCAACCGUAAAAUUGCAGUUGAUACUGGCAGUCUUGAGUACAGUAGGGGUGGGCGGAAUUCGUGGUGUAGCGGUGAAAUGCUUAGAUAUCACGAAGUACUCCGAUUGCGAAGGCAGUUCACUGGACUGCAACUGACACUGAGGCUCGAAAGUGUGGGUAUCAAACAGGAUUAGAUACCCGGGUAGUC